rnacentral:rRNA from 1 species
AUUGAACGCUGGCGGCAGGCUUAACACAUGCAAGUCGAGCGGUAACAGAGAGAAGCUUGCUUCUCUGCUGACGAGCGGCGGACGGGUGAGUAAUGCCUAGGAAUCUGCCUAGUAGUGGGGGAUAACUUGCCGAAAGGUAAGCUAAUACCGCAUACGUCCUACGGGAGAAAGGAGGGGACCUUCGGGCCUUUCGCUAUUAGAUGAGCCUAGGUCGGAUUAGUUAGUUGGUGAGGUAAUGGCUCACCAAGACCGCGAUCCGUAACUGGUCUGAGAGGAUGAUCAGUCACACUGGAACUGAGACACGGUCCAGACUCCCACGGGAGGCAGCAGUGGGGAAUAUUGGACAAUGGGGGGGAACCCUGAUCCAGCCAUGCCGCGCGUGUGAAGAAGGUCUUAGGAUUGUAAAGCACUUUAAGUUGGGAGGAAGAGCAGUUAACUAAUAUUUGACUGUUUUGACGUUACCGACAGAAUAAGCACCGGCUAACUUCGUG